rnacentral:rRNA from 1 species
AUUGAACGCUGGCGGCAUGCCUUACACAUGCAAGUCGAACGGCAGCGGACCUUCGGGUGCCGGCGAGUGGCGAACGGGUGAGUAAUAUAUCGGAACGUACCUUUCAGUGGGGGAUAACGUAGCGAAAGUUACGCUAAUACCGCAUAUUCUGUGAGCAGGAAAGCAGGGGAUCGCAAGACCUUGCGCUGAUUGAGCGGCCGAUAUCAGAUUAGCUAGUUGGUGAGGUAAAGGCUCACCCAAGGCGACGGAUCUGUAGCGGGUCUGAGAGGAUGAUCGCCACACUGGAACUGAGACACGGUCCAGACUCCUACGGGAGGCAGCAGUGGGGAAUUUUGGACAAUGGGCGCAAGCCUGAUCCAGCCAUGCCGCGUGAGUG